rnacentral:rRNA from 1 species
AUUGAACGCUGGCGGCAUGCUUUACACAUGCAAGUCGAACGGUAACAGGCCUUCGGGUGCUGACGAGUGGCGAACGGGUGAGUAAUGCAUCGGAACGUACCCAGAGGUGGGGGAUAACGCAGCGAAAGCUGUGCUAAUACCACAUGUGAUCUGAGGAUGAAAGCGGGGGACCGAGCAGCAAUGUUUGGCCUCGCGCCUUUGGAGCGGCCGAUGUCGGAUUAGCUAGUUGGUGGGGUAAAGGCCUACCAAGGCGACGAUCCGUAGCUGGUCUGAGAGGACGACCAGCCACACUGGGACUGAGACACGGCCCAGACUCCUACGGGAGGCAGCAGUGGGGAAUUUUGGACAAUGGGCGCAAGCCUGAUCCAGCAAUGCCGCGUGCGGGAAGAAGGCCUUCGGGUUGUAAACCGCUUUUGGCAGGAACGAAACGGUGUCCGCUAAUACCGGGCGCUAAUGACGGUACCUGCAGAAUAAGCACCGGCUAACUACGUG